AUUGAACGCUGGCGGCAGGCCUAACACAUGCAAGUCGAGCGGUAACACAGGGAGCUUGCUCCCGGGUGACGAGCGGCGGACGGGUGAGUAAUGUCUGGGAAACUGCCUGAUGGAGGGGGAUAACUACUGGAAACGGUAGCUAAUACCGCAUAACGUCGCAAGACCAAAGAGGGGGACCUUCGGGCCUCUUGCCAUCAGAUGUGCCCAGAUGGGAUUAGCUAGUAGGUGGGGUAACGGCUCACCUAGGCGACGAUCCCUAGCUGGUCUGAGAGGAUGACCAGCCACACUGGAACUGAGACACGGUCCAGACUCCUACGGGAGGCAGCAGUGGGGAAUAUUGCACAAUGGGCGCAAGCCUGAUGCAGCCAUGCCGCGUGUAUGAAGAAGGCCUUCGGGUUGUAAAGUACUUUCAGCGGGGAGGAAGGUGUUGAGGUUAAUAACCUCAGCAAUUGACGUUACCCGCAGAAGAAGCACCGGCUAACUCCGUGCCAGCCGCCGCCGUAAUAC
rnacentral:rRNA from 1 species